rnacentral:rRNA from 1 species
AGCGAACGCUGGCGGCAGGCUUAACACAUGCAAGUCGAGCGGGCACUUCGGUGUCAGCGGCAGACGGGUGAGUAACACGUGGGAACGUACCCUUUGGUUCGGAAUAACGCUGGGAAACUAGCGCUAAUACCGGAUACGCCCUUUUGGGGAAAGGCUUGCUGCCGAAGGAUCGGCCCGCGUCUGAUUAGCUAGUUGGUGGGGUAAUGGCCUACCAAGGCGACGAUCAGUAGCUGGUCUGAGAGGAUGAUCAGCCACACUGGGACUGAGACACGGCCCAGACUCCUACGGGAGGCAGCAGUGGGGAAUAUUGGACAAUGGGCGCAAGCCUGGUCCAGCCAUGCCGCGUGAGUGAUGAAAGCCUUAGGGUUGUAAAGCUCUUUUGUCCGGGACGAUAAUGACGGUACCGGAAGAAUAAGCCCCGGCUAACUUCGUG